rnacentral:rRNA from 1 species
UGGGGAAUUUUGGACAAUGGGGGAAACCCUGAUCCAGCCAUGCCGCGUGCGGGAAGAAGGCCUUCGGGUUGUAAACCGCUUUUGUCAGGGAAGAAAAGGCGCAGUCUAAUACAUUGCGGCCAUGACGGUACCUGAAGAAUAAGCACCGGCUAACUACGUGCCAGCAGCCGCGGUAAUACGUAGGGUGCGAGCGUUAAUCGGAAUUACUGGGCGUAAAGCGUGCGCAGGCGGUUGUGCAAGACAGAUGUGAAAUCCCCGGGCUUAACCUGGGAACUGCAUUUGUGACUGCACGGCUAGAGUGCGGCAGAGGGGGAUGGAAUUCCGCGUGUAGCAGUGAAAUGCGUAGAUAUGCGGAGGAACACCGAUGGCGGAGGCAAUCCCCUGGGCCUGCACUGACGCUCAUGCACGAAAGCGUGGGGAGCAAAC